GUCUUCUGUUACAAACCACUUGAAUCCAUAUUCAAAAGUACCAUAUAGUCAUGGUUUGGUUUUAUGGAUCAUUAGUAGUGGAGUUUACAUCAACUUUGGUGUACCUCGUAUAAACGAUGCGUAACCAGUCAUAUCCGGCAUCGUGGAGUGCAUUAAAAAGGGAGCAAUUGGACGAUUGGAUGCUGGGCUAGGUGUUUCUUGGAAUGCCUACGGAUUUUUCGGGUCAAAACCUCGAUUAUGAGGAUUCAUUUUUUCGUAUUG
rnacentral:lncRNA from 1 species